rfam:Camelus ferus unplaced genomic scaffold scaffold1274, whole genome shotgun sequence.
GAGGGUCUAGCUCAGUGGUAGAGUGUAUGUCUAGUAUGCACCAGGUCCUGGGUUCAAUCCCCAGUACCUCCA